CCCCCGAUAGCUCAGUUGGUAGAGCAUCAGACUGUAAUUGGAAAACCUCUCGCUAUCUGGGUGUCACCUGUUCGAUCCAGGUUCGGGGGA
rfam:Exidia glandulosa HHB12029 unplaced genomic scaffold EXIGLscaffold_163, whole genome shotgun sequence.